rnacentral:rRNA from 1 species
UGGGGAAUAUUGCACAAUGGAGGGAACUCUGAUGCAGCGACGCCGCGUGAACGAAGAAGGCUUUCGAGUCGUAAAGUUCUUUUAUAUGGGAAGAUAAUGACGGUACCAUAAGAAAAAGCCCCGGCUAACUACGUGCCAGCAGCCGCGGUAAUACGUAGGGGGCUAGCGUUGUCCGGAAUCACUGGGCGUAAAGGGUUCGCAGGCGGAAAUGCAAGUCAGGUGUAAAAGGCAGUAGCUUAACUACUGUAAGCAUUUGAAACUGCAUAUCGUGAGAAGAGUAGAGGUAAGUGGAAUUUUUAGUGUAGCAGUGAAAUGCGUAGAUAUUAAAAAGAAUACCGGUGGCGAAGGCGACUUACUGGGCUCAUUCUGACGCUGAGGAACGAAAGCGUGGGUAGCAAACAGG